UGUAUUAUCAACUAUAGCAGAAGAAUCCACGGUGAGUGCUGAAGGCACUUCUGAGCUGCAAGAAUCUUCGUCUGUAGCCUCUUCGGAUGCAACCAAGACAGAACAAGAUACAGAGUUGAAUGAAGAACAUCCUGAAGUCCAGGCUGUAGUGCAGCAGGCCAUUAGAGAUGCAAUGCUUGUGCCCCUUAAUUUGUCUCCUGACCUAUAUACAGACGUAUUGGAAAAAGCAAUUAAUGAGGCUCUCAGUGAG